rnacentral:rRNA from 1 species
GACGAACCGAGCGAACGUUGUUCGGAAUCACUGGGCUUAAAGGGCGCGUAGGCGGGCUGCCAAGUUUGGGGUGAAAUCCUCCGGCUCAACCGGAGCAGUGCCUCGAAUACUGGCGGUCUCGAGGGAGGUAGGGGCGUGCGGAACUGUGGGUGGAGCGGUGAAAUGCGUUGAUAUCCACAGGAACUCCGGUGGCGAAGGCGGCACGCUGGACCUUUUCUGACGCUGAGACGCGAAAGCUAGGGGAGCGAACGGG